CGCCCCUUGUAUGUUCCGCUUCCUGUGUGCUUUUGUAACAAUUGUUUAUAAGUGAAGACGGGAAGGCGCAGAAAGCUGCAGCACGUAGAUUAAUACAGGAAACAACAAUGGUCUGACUGAUAAUAAAAGCUAGCAUCUACGUGGUUCGGAGGAUCCGUGCUUCCAUCGCAGAGGGGGAGCGAGUGGAAAAGCCCAUUCUAACACCAUGUAGUGCUAUUGCUGAAAUGAGAGAGGGACAUGAGUCAAGAGGAAACACCCCAUCGGCCUUACCCAGCCCAGGACCUGGUCCCGGUGGAGCAGCAGGCUCGGGGACACCCUCAGAGACAGCUGUGCAAAAAUGUGGACCAUGACGUUAAUGAUAACACCUGGACACUAGGACUGCGGUCGCCUCAGUGGAAAAAUAUAUUUUGUCAUCAUUGUAUUUCUGCAUUACCGGUCAAUAAUACACUAUCCUGAAUGAUUCCAUGUAUAUACAGAACCAUCUACAUGAAAUGCAUUAAUACAUCCAUGCUGUUGGCCUACUCUGUGGCCAAUGUCCAGCUCCUAAUGACACACAAAUGCCUUUUUCACGGCAGACAUUUUGACUUACCAUAGGAAGGAAAUAGGUGCAACUAAUAACAUUUAAAAAUUACUUUGUCCCAUUUAGGUUUGCUGGUGAGCUACACGUAUAUGCACCUGAAUGUAAUGGAGACAUUUAUGUUAUGUAAAUGUAUUUGGUUUGUCAACAUGUUCUCUGCGAGAAAGGUAUAUAUUUAUGUACUGCAGUGUUUGAAGGCUGACUCACCAACCUCUCUCCAGGGGCUGAACAGACCUGAUGUUUCUGCUGCUGUAUCAAUAAAUUUAAAAAGAAAAGUU